rnacentral:rRNA from 1 species
AACGACUCUCGGCAACGGAUAUCUCGGCUCACGCAUCGAUGAAGAACGUAGCAAAAUGCGAUACUUGGUGUGAAUUGCAGAAUCCCGUGAACCAUCGAGUUUUUGAACGCAAGUUGCGCCCGAAGCCAUUUGGUUGAAGGCACGUCUGCCUGGGCGUCACGCA